AGAGUUUGAUCAUGGCUCAGGAUGAACGCUGGCGGCGUGCCUAACACAUGCAAGUCGAGCGAUCUUCUUCGGAAGAGAGCGGCGGACGGGUGAGUAACGCGUGGGUAACCUGCCCUGUACACACGGAUAACAUACCGAAAGGUAUGCUAAUACGGGAUAAUAUGCUUUUAUCGCAUGGUAGAAGUAUCAAAGCUCCGGCGGUACAGGAUGGACCCGCGUCUGAUUAGCUAGUUGGUAAGGUAACGGCUUACCAAGGCGACGAUCAGUAGCCGACCUGAGAGGGUGAUCGGCCACAUUGGAACUGAGACACGGUCCAAAUUCCUACGGGAGGCAGCAGUGGGGAAUAUUGCACAAUGGGCGAAAGCCUGAUGCAGCAACGCCGCGUGAGCGAUGAAGGCCUUCGGGUCGUAAAGCUCUGUCCUCAAGGAAGAUAAUGACGGUACUUGAGGAGGAAGCCCCGGCUAACUACGUGCCAGCAGCCGCGGUAAUACGUAGGGGGCUAGCGUUAUCCGGAAUUACUGGGCGUAAAGGGUGCGUAGGUGGUUUCUUAAGUCAGAGGUGAAAGGCUACGGCUCAACCGUAGUAAGCCUUUGAAACUGGGAAACUUGAGUGCAGGAGAGGAGAGUGGAAUUCCUAGUGUAGCGGUGAAAUGCGUAGAUAUUAGGAGGAACACCAGUUGCGAAGGCGGCUCUCUGGACUGUAACUGACACUGAGGCACGAAAGCGUGGGGAGCAAACAGGAUUAGAUACCCUGGUAGUCC
rnacentral:rRNA from 1 species